GAUGAUGGAUUUGCUUGUGCACAGAAUGAUCAACCCUCAGAAAUAAUAAUCCAUCACUACAAAGCAGGAAGAUGUUAUACUGUGAAGACAUUUUUUAAAAGAAGAAUAGAGGGAGAAAAUACCGAACAUGGAUCUUGGAUAGAGAAACACGCAUUAGGCUUUGGCUUGAGAACUUCAGCUCAUUUAAAUUCAAGCCCUUCAAUAUUCAGACUCCUCCAGCAUACCAUCUGUUCAGUCUUUCGGUGCAUCUGCAAGUUCCAUCUCAGUGACAGAGAAGCAUUGGAGAGCUGUACAGCUUUAGAAUAUUUAAAGAAGACUGAAGUAUUUAAAAAGUAUACUACUACUGAACCGUCUCAUGAUGCUUGUUCCCUAAUAUGUGCGAAGUGUAGUCAAUAAAGUAAUAUUUGUGCUGCCAAUACAGACUGUUGAUGUUAUUUGUCUUGAUUCAGAAAUCAAGGAUGUUACUUUUCUUCAUCAGACAUUCUAGUUGAAAUUGAUAAACCUUACAGACAGC
rnacentral:lncRNA from 1 species